UCCUAUGGUCAGGCGCGUCGGGGGGCCGAAAGGCUCGCCGGUUCCCACGGUCACCGGUCUACCAAUCCGGCGUCGCCUGGCCACCCGU
rnacentral:antisense_RNA from 2 species